AUGUAGAGUUUACAUGGAGACUUGACAGUUGCAUUGGCAACACAGUCUUAAAAGACUACUCAGUCAAGCUCAAGAGAAAAAUAAUUCACUAGCACACUGCUUGCUAGAGUCAGAUAUUUUUAUCUACUGAAACAGGACAAACUGAUAUUUUAAAGCUUUCCAUUUCCUUUUGCAUGUGUUCAUUUUGCUUUUGCUGAGAAAUGUUAUAAAUUAGCCAUGGAAACACUCCUCCUCCUAGUCUAUGGAUUUAUUAGGAUCAACAUGUUGCCAUCAUCCAAGAGAUCAAGGGGGGUCUCUAUACAAAUGUCCAUUCAUUCCUCUACUUACUGAGAAUCUUCCUUCAGAAAAUUAUAUUGGCAGUUUGAGGUCCACCUAGCUCUUGGGAAACAGUAGAAGAGAGUUGCUGAAAUGAAGUACAGCAAUUCAGUGUCUUGUAAGCCUCUGCAAAUUUUUCAAGCCUCCCUACUCUGUCCCAAAGGC